CUUGGGACAAUUUCAGCACUUUUCAUAUACAACUAGUCAAAAAAUAUUGGUUGACAUUGAACAACUUUUCCAAGACCACCCAGAUGGCCCCUUAAGAGCCGACUGGGAUUUAUAACUGCAACGGACAGUUUGGAUAUCGGGGAGUAGGCUGGAUUUUAUUACUGGAGCGACGUGUUUGUGAAACUAGAAAAAUGCUGGUCGGUACACGACUGGCGGGGAAGGAGGGAGUCUUCUAGCGGUCAAGAUACAGGUUUCUUUCUCCAACCAACUCCUUCAGCGCCAGUAAGAUAAUGCAGUGGUCGCUAGCUCAGAGGCACCACAUUCACCAUUUUUCAACAUUGCAUAAUUUUGGAAAAGAACCCGGUCUAGUGUUGCUGCUGAGCCUACAUCAAGCUACAAGGCAGUGUUGUCAGAUGCUGAGCAAGCGUUUACCCAGUAUUAUGGUUCAGGCUGCACAUCUCUCCUUAAUACAACAGUAACCCAUUUUUUUUUUAUUCGGCCCGUCCUCAUAAACAACUCCCAGCUGUUUAUAAAUGAAAACUGCUUCCACACGACUCGCAACUGAUUUUAA